rnacentral:lncRNA from 1 species
CCACAACUGCUUCUUUCCCUUCUCCUCUUCCUUCUCCUUCCUUUCUUCUUCCCUUCUCCUCCCCGGCAUCACACACACCCUCUCCUUUGUUUCCUCUGCAGGAAACAGAGGUAUCACAACCUCUUCUCCUGCUUCCUCUUCUUCUUCUCUUCCUCUUCUUCUUCUUCUCCUCUUCUCCUGCCCGACACCCCACACCUCUCCUCUGUUUCCACCUGCAGGAAACAGAGGUGCUGCAGCCCUAGCUGCUGCCACCUCUCGCUCCUCUCCCUCUUCCCUCUCUUUUCCCUCUUCUUCUCCUUCUCUUCUUCUCUUCUUCCCUUUUCCUCCCCAACGCCACACAC